rnacentral:lncRNA from 12 species
AUGACAGGUAUGGGUCCGUGUGUUAGCCUCCUGGGGUGCUGUGACAAAGCACCACAACAGAAGUGGGUUUCACCAUCUGGAGGCCCCAGAACCAAAGGGCUGGUUUCCUCUGGGGUCCCUGUUGGAGAAUCUGGUCCAGGCCUCAUUUCCAGCUUCUGGAGAUUGCCAGCGAUGCUUGCCGAUCCUGGGCUUGGCCGCAUCCCUCUGGUGGGUGUCUCUCCAUUGAGAAUAUUCAGGAGGAGGAGGGCCCCUCACUGUACCCCCAGGAACUUCUCAUCAGCUGCUCACCUCAGGCAGACCAUGGGAAGCCAGGGGUCAGCUCAGGCUGGGAUGCUGGCCAUCCCUCCACCUUGGCUGCCCUAUUGCCGUGUUGGACAUGAAUGUCCACAGGCCUCCUGGAGCCUAGAAGCUUCCACCCAACGCCAGAUGCACCUGGGCCAGGUUCUUGGGCUUCUCCACACCUAUCUUCCUGUUUCUACAGGUGCCUACCUGCACACUUCCUGGGCCCGGAGAGGCCAGGUUCCCAUGACCUCAGAAGGGACUUCUCAUUGGAUCUCCCCAGACAUAGCAUCCAUGGAGGACGGUGUGAUCAGGCCCAGGCCCAGGCAGCUCUUCCUCAUCUGGAACCAGAGACUCGGGACAAGGCCACCAUCAGGUCUUGUACCCAGUGGCAAGGCUGUCCAGGUAACAGCCUUGUAGUUUUGUACUUUUUGGUUGGUUUAACAUCAUUGAUGGGACAAUACCAUGCUGGAUCUGAAUGGACCCCGGGAUGGCAGACCGAACCAGAGCCCCCGGAUGGCGGGAGAAGGUGUUGGAGAUAACUGGGUCUGACCUGCCCACUUUAUGAAUGAGGACCUGGGGCACAGAGCUGUGAAUUGUCUGCCUCUCCUGGCCUUUCUCUCAUUUUCCACCACGUGAUUAGAAGAUUUGAGGAGGAUGGGGCUGGACUCCAAGAAUACAGGUCUCCGUUCAGAGGCCCUGCCCCAUAUAUGCUGCACACUCAGUGGAUCUGGAGCAGCUGUCUGGGGGUGGAUGGCCAUCUCGAACCCGCACACGCUGAACCCCAGCUCAGAAGCUCCCUCCCAGGAGGAAGUUGAAUGGAGUCUGGCCUGUCCACAGCGACCCUCAAGCAGACCAGAGGUCAAGAAGUGUUUCAGGGCCUUUCCAGCAGAGGCCAGGGGGCAGGGGUUGCUGGGGAGCAGGGGUCUAGGGCUCUGCCCUACCUGGGCCGCCCAGCCCUGGGUCCAGGCUGAAUUGAGGGCUGUGGCUCCCAACGGAGUGGAGCAAGCGGCUUUAGCAUCCAAACGGCUGCCAGAACCGCAACCGAAGGUUGACUGUAUCUCACGAUGGAUGAGCAGCCACAGGAGUCACCAGACGGGCCAAUGCACCAUCAGAAGGCACAGAUGCCCACCUGCUGGGCCAGGGCCCCACGUGCCCCAGGUCUGCUUACCAGGUGCAAACAGAUUGAAAUGGAAGAGAGCACCCUGGAGGAGACAGAA